AAAUCGUAAUCAACAGAAUAUUCAACAUGGCAGAUAAAAAGAAAAGACCAAUGACAGCCAUCGACUAUAUCAAAAACCAACCGCGCCUUCAAGACAAACAUCUUACUCAAACUACCAACACCUUCUCAGCCCUUGCGGAGUUUCCUCCCUUAUCAUAUGCAAAAGCAGCUAAUCCAAAUUCUGGCCAUACCUCUUCGAAACCACCAACUCCUACUCAAAAGUCCGACUACUAUACAAAACCCUAUUACCAACACAUUCAUACAAUCCAUUUUCCAAAACCAAUAACCCUAAAAGAACUCCAAAACUAUAUCAACCGCAUCUUCUACGAAACAAGCCUAUGGACAACAAAAAAUGUAACCAAAAACCAAACCUUCUACGACUACAUUCUAGUAGACUCUAUGUCUGCUUCAAUUGUACAUCAUGAAAACCAAAAUAACCCAGACCAAAUAGACUACUCAACCUGCAAAAUUAUCCGUGUUGCAUCCUACCGAGACCUCGGCUUCACCAACCUCCAUACUCAAAAACCCUUCAAUACUCCCGGCUUUUACAUACCCGGAUACACCUACACAGAUUACCAAAACGCCUUUUUCUACACAUUCUUCCGUCGACCAUUCACCCAUUCAUGGUUUAUCCAACUUCAAUUCAAUUGUCCCAAACUCAUACCAAACUGGUUCUACGAAUGGUGGUAUUAUUUUGGUCCAGUUGACCAAAUCUACCCAGAACCUAUACUCAAAACAUUCUUACCAUAUUACCAAAAACAAAAACCUCAACCAUCCAUCCCAAUCUUAUCCAAAAUAGCCUUCCACAUCGACAUGGGAAUUCCAUGGAUUUGCAGUUGGCACUUCCACCUUACUCAACUCCAGCCCGACAUGCCAAUGUCUUUGGUCAAGCAAUUCCGCGUCAAAUGGUGGGACAAAUACGACCAAGAAAGAUGCUCAAUCACCAGUAUGCAAAAAUUCUUCACCGACAACAGAAAUAUAGAAAGAUCAAUCGUUCAACUAUCAAGAUCAAUUCCGACUGAAGACCAACGUCAACAUUCGAGACAAUUAAUUCAACAAUACGGCCAACAUCCUCAGCAACAACGACCAACCAGUCCUACAGGAUCAGACUCUUCUUCUAAAUCAAAAGGCAAAAAAACUGUCUUACUAGAAAUAUUUCAAGCACUUCAUAAAACGUUGGACGUUUCUGACUCUGAUUCUGACGAAGUAAACCAACAAGAUGAACCUAUGCAAGAUUCUGAGGAUCCAUUAAGAGGCCCUUGUGCUCAGGAUCCCAACGAAAUAUAAACUUCGUUUAAAAAAAAGAAAAGAAAAAAAAAAAAAAGUAUUAUAUAAACUUCGUUAAAAAAAAAAAAGUUAAAAGUAUUAUAUAAACUUCGUUUUAACUAUUACUCUAAGGCACGAAUGCAGAUGUGUUCCCGGUUGUAAGUCCUGAACAAAGGCAAUAAAACCGCUGGUAAGCUACUGCAGUGCCAAAGAAAAAAUUGCUAAAAUGAAAUGUACAUUCUAGUAGACUAUUUAUAUUAUUUUAAUACUUUAUUAUUAUAUAAUAUCUUUUAUAAAAAUUGUACUUAUUCGUACCCUAAAAUAAUAAAUAGAGUAUAUUUAGUUGUAUAAAAUAAAAUAAAUAGGCAAGAAGCUCUAGAAGCAGUGACGUAAGCAGUGACGCAAUCAGUGACGUAAGCAAUGACGCAAGCAAUAACGUAAGCAAUAACGCAAUAAUGAUGUUGGCACCAUUAGAUGGAAGACACGUGUACUCAACCAAUAAAUCAACGCCACAGCUCAAGCUUAUCAAGCAAGCCUCUUCGCUUAUAAAUACACAAGAUAUGGAGACGAAGGGAGUGUCAGAAGUUCUCCGAAGCCCUCUCGCUCUAAAAAAUUCUCACUCUAAAAAAUCUCUGCUUUCACCCCCUUUGUAAUACUCUUUACUUAUUGUAAGUACCAAAAAUUUGUAAUCAAAAUUUCGAUAUUAAUAAAACAAAAAUUUUAUUCAGUUUACGCUUUCAAAAUACAAAGUCGAGGGAAUCUAGUCCUUAGAUUCUAGCAACCAGAAUCCAAGAAACUCUGACUAACCGUUAAUACCCUAAAAAGUUAAUACGAUGUGACAAAAGUAUCAGGGAAAACUUUGUACUUUUCUGGUAUCAGUUUUUAUAAAAGAUAUUAUAUAAUAAUAAAGUUUAAAAUAAUAAAUAGAGUAUAUUUUGUUGUAUAAAAUAAAAUAAAUACGCAAGAAGCUCUAGAAGCAGUGACGUAAGCAAUGACGCUAGCAUUGACAUAAGCAAUGACGCAAGCAGUAACGUAAGCAAUGACGCAAUAACGAUGUCGUCACCAUUAGAUGGAAGACACGUGUACUCAACUAAUGAAUCAACGCCACAGCUCAAGCUUAUCAAGCAAGCCUCUUCGCCUAUAAAUACACAAGCUAUGGAGACGAAGGGAGCAUCAGAAGUUCUCCGAAGCCCUCUCGCUCUAAAAAAUUAUCACUCUAAAAAAUCUCUGCUCUCACCCCCUUUGUAAUACUCUCUACUUAUUGUAAGUACCAAAAAUUUGUAAUCAAAAUCUCGAUAUUAAUAAAACAAUUUUUUUAUUCAGUUUACUCUUUCAAAAUACAAAGUCCAGCGAAUCUAGUCCUUAGAUUCUAGCAACCCGAAUCCAAGAAACUCUGACUAACCGUUAAUACCCUAAAAAGUUAAUACGGUGUGACAGCAGUUUUGGGUAAAACUUUGUACUUUUCUGGUAUCAGGCUAAAACGAUCGAUCUUUUAAGAAAAGGUUUUAUACGAUUUUCUAAAAACCGUUUUCAAAAAUAAAUCCUACACCCUAAACCUAAAGCUCACCUUAUUCGAGUCAGGCGCUGUUUAGUUACGUUCCCGGUAGUAAGUCCUAAGAAGGCAGUGAAACCGUUGGUAAGUUCUAGUUGCGUCAAACCCGAGACCGGUAAGUCUUUUAAGUUUAGUAUGCACAUGAAUUAAAUUUCGAUGGCGUCAUCCUUUAGAAAUUUGUUUAAACCUAAACAAGCAUCUACAUCUAAAUCAACAGUUAAUUCAAGAGAAAUUAUAACAAUUUCUUCUUUAAACAAUGAAUUAUCCAAAAAUCAUUUACCACAUAUUAACCCUGAACAAAUAUAUCAAAUUGGAACAUUUGAUUUUAAAUCAGCUUAUUCAAUAAAAGAACAUGAACAAACUCUAUCUCUUUAUAUGUACAUAGCAAAGAUACACUUGUAUCUACUUAUGCACCUAAGCAACUAAAUUGGAAUGAAAUUACUAUCCCAGAACAAUGGAAAAUAAGCGAUUCUCAACCACUUAGAAAUUUUAAACAAAGAAAUAUUAAAAAAAUAAUUGAACAACGAGAUGGUAAAAUAUUAUUACGAUUUGGAUCAUAUAAAGAACCUAUUCCACCUAGAAUAAGUUCAUACCAUUCAAGAAGUUCAUUUUAUGAAUUUAUACCAACAUAUUCUGAAUUCCAGGCUAGACAAUCUAGUGCUGAUUCAGAAGUUGAAAGUUCAAAACCCAACCAAGAAAAUUUAGUAAAAUUCGAAACACCUAUUGCGAAACCUGAAAGAAAAUCUUAUCCAACUUCCCCAUCCAUCCGACUUCCAAUCAAUAAAUGUCAUCAAUAAAGAAUUUAAAAUAAAUAAAAGUUUCCUAAAAGAAGAGUUUUAUUCAAUAACAAAUGAAGAAAAAAGAAACUGAUAUUUUAAUAAAUAUAAUAAAGAACAAACAAUAGAAUUUAGAGAAAAAUGGUACGAAUUUAUACAAGAAAAAGAAAUUAAUAUACCAUUCUUUACAUGGCUAGAAUUAUAUUUAACUAACAAAAAAAAAAUUAUUCAUUUAAAGAAAUUAAUACAAAUAUUAGUCUAUUAAAAGUAUGGAAAAAAACAGAUGGUAAUAAAACAAAAUCAGUUCAUCCACCAUUAACAAAUAUAAAAAUAGAAACUUCUCAAAGGAGAAUAAUAGCAACCCCUUUCAAAACAUUAGCUAAUUUAAACAACAAUGAGACGGCAACCAAAGCAGAAAUAAAAGAAAUUUAUCAACAAAAUAAUUAUCAUUCCUAAAUAUUACAUACGAUAGCAAAACAAAUAGACCACAUAGAUAAUAAAAUAGAAGUUAAAGAACCACAAAACCUCUUCUCUUCAACAUCAAAACCAUUCAUAAUAAUCCGGAAAACAGAUAUUAAAUUUCAAAACAAUGAAUUAUUAAAAUCAAUAGCUAAUAGAUUAGACAAUCUAGACAAAGAAAAAGGAAUUAACAUCAUUGAAGAAGAAGGAGAAAGUAAUCAAGAUUCAGAAUCUGAUAUUCAAGAAAUAAAUAAAAUAAGAAAUAAUUUUAGAUCAAAGAAACCUUACUACAAAAAAUAUACUCCACCUGAUUUAUUAUUUGAAGAAAAUCAAUAUAAAACCAGUAAUUUUACCGGCGACGGUAUAAAUACUUGGGACUUAGAUGGUUUAUCAGAAUACGAAACAUUAAAACUAGUACAAGAAAUGACUACGGCUGCCGCAACCUACAAAGGUAGAGAAUUCACAGAUAAGCAAGCAUGUGGAUUAUUAAUAACAGGAUUUAAUGGAGCAUUAAGAUAUUGGUGGGAUAAUUCACUAAGUAAAUACGAAAGAUAAGCAAUAGAAAAUCACAAAGAAACAAUUAUAAAACAAGAAGAUGAUUUUUAUGAAGAAGUAGAAAAAGAAAACGCUGUAGAAGUAUUAAUCCAUAUUAUAACCAUGCACUUUAUAGGAAAUCCAGCAGAAGAACUAGAAAGCAAAAAACUAAUAUUAACCAACUUAAGAUGUCCAACUUUAGGAGACUUCAAAUGGUAUAAAGACGUAUUUUUAGCAAAUAUAUUCUUAAGAAACGACUGUAAUCAACCAUUUUGGAAAGAAAGGUUCGUCAUGGGACUACCUUCUUUCUUUGCGGAACGAGUAAUCAACAAAUUAAAAGAUUACGCAGGCGGUAAACAAUUCGACUGGAAUUCUAUAACAUACGGUCAACUAUUUGCGUUCAUCAAAAAAGAAGGAUUAACAAUGUGCCAAGAGCAAAAAGAUAAAAAAGAGAAAGAAAUGAAAAAUUCAAAAUUAAACAAAAUAUGGGAAAAUUUUGUAAGCAAUAUGGAUACGAAAAACUAAAUCCACCUUCUAGACAAACACAUAGACGUAACAAAUCUCAUAAAUAUUUUUCAAAAAGAAAACAUUAUCACAAAGAAAAGCAGUUUAAUAAAAGAGAACAAUAUUAUUCAAAAAAUAAAAAAUAUAAUAAAAAAAUAUUAAUAAACAAAAUAUAGUUUGUUGGAAUUGUAAAAGACCCGGUCACAGGUCUACCGAAUGCAAAAUGAAGAAAAAAAUUAAUGAAAUUUUCCAAGAUCAACAAGAUAUGCAAGAAAAAUUUACUAAAUUAUUAAUAUCCGAAACAUAAACAUCUUCUGACAAUGAAAGCAUUUACUCAAUAAACGAAAUCGAAGACUCUAAUGAUUUAUCCUCAGAAUCUCAAGAGUACUCCGAUAAUCUAUGCAUGUGUAAACAAAUAAAUGUUAUAACUAAAAAUGAUAAACAAAUUUUACUAGAAAUCAUAGAUAAAAUAUAAGACCCAGAGAUCAAAAAAGAAUAUCUAUUAAAAUUAAAAGAAAUUGUUACAAAAGAAGAAAAAUUCACUAACCCUGAGACUUAUAAUCUAAACAGAAUACUUGAAAAAAUACCCAACACAAAGUCUAUUAAAACAAAUUACGACUGGAGAACUACAAACAGAAAUUAAACAAGCAAAGACCCAAAUUAGAGAAUUACAAACAAUUGUUAAUCAACAAGCUUUAAAACAAUUAGAAUUCGAUGCUAAAUUAGCACUCAUCCAAAACAACAAACCUUCAUCUAGUACACCAAAAGAAACUCCAUUCCAAGAACUAUUAAACGUAUCUCAAGAAGAUUAUAUUCAAAAUAUUGAAAAAAUCAACUACCAAAAAUGGUAUAUAAAAAUAACUCUGCAUGUAGGAAAAGAUUUUAAAACAAACAUAAUCACACUCCUAGACACUGGUGCAUACCAAAAUUGUAUAAGAGAAUGAAUUAUACCCUCUAAGUAUUAUGAAAAACCUCCGAACGAUUAAGCGGAACUGGAGGAAACAAUCUUAUAAUAAAAUAUAAACUACCAUGUGAAAAAGUAUGCAAUAAUGGAUAUUGUUUUAAAAAUCAAUUUAUAUUAGUAAAAAAUUUGUCGUAAUUUUAGGAACCCCAUUUGUUCCUCAAAUUUACCCAUUCGAAGCUAGCGAAAUAGGAUUAACCACUAAAAUAAUGGGAACCAAAUUAACAUAUGAAUUCUUAAAUCCUAUAAAACGAAAAGAAAUCAUAGAACUCCAUGAAAAUACUAUUCAAAAAAUUAUAAACUUAAUAAAAAGUAAAAAAAAUCACAUUUAAUAUCUACAAGAAGAAAUUUCUUAUAAAAAAAUAGAAGAACAACUCCAAACACCUUAUGUUCAAAAUAAAAUUAAAGAAAUCGAGAACAAACUAAUAGAGCAAGUAUGUUCAGAUCUUCCCAACGCUUUUUGGGAAAGUAAACAACAUACAGUCGAACUACCCUAUAUAAAAGAUUUUAAUGAGAAAAAUAUUCCAACUAAAGCAAGACCUAUUCAAAUGAAUAAAGAAUAACUUGAAACAUGUAAACAAGAAAUAAAUGACUUACUUAAAAAGAAAUUAAUAAGGCCAUCAAAAUCACCUUGGAGUUGUGCAACAUUUUACGUAAAUAACCAAGCUGAAAAAGAACGUAGAGUACCACGAGUAAUAAUCAAUUAUAAACUAUUAAAUGAUGUUUUACAAUGGAUCAGAUAUCCAAUACCAAAUAAAAGAGAUCUAUUAAUCCGAUUAUAUGAUGCAAAAAUAUUCUCAAAAUUUGACAUGAAAAGCGGAUUUUGGCAAAUACAAAUAUCCGAAAAUGAUAAAUACAAAACUGCAUUCACAGUACCUUUUGGACAUUACGAAUGGAACGUAAUGCCCUUUGGAUUAAAAAACGCACCAAGUGAAUUUCAACAUAUUAUGAAUGACAUAUUCAAUAAUUAUACUAAAUUCACAAUUGUCUAUAUAGACGAUGUAUUAGUUUAUUCAAACUCAAUCGAACAACACGUUAAACAUUUAGAAACACUUUUACAGACAGUAAAAAAACACGGUUUAGUAAUAUCAGCAAAGAAAAUAUCGUUAUUCCAAACUAGAAUAAGAUUUUUAGGUCAUAAUAUAUGUCAAGGAACUAUAGUCCCUAUUGCAAGAUCAAUAGAAUUCGCCGAUAAAUUUCCCGAUGAAUUAAGAGAAAAAACUCAACUUCAAAGAAUUUUAGGAUGCCUUAAUUAUGUAUCAGACUUCCUUCCAAAUCUUAGAAAAACUAUUCAACCAUUAUAUCAAAGAUUAGAAAAAAAUCCUAAACCUUGGACAGAUAAACAUACUAAUUUAGUCAAACAUGUCAAGCAAAAUGUCAAGACCUUACCCUGUCUAUCUAUCCCACACCCUGAAGCCGCUAUGAUAAUAGAAACAGACGCUUCAGAAGUAGGUUAUGGAGGUAUUCUUAAGCAAACACCACCCAAUCAGACCAAAGAAGCGAUAGUUAGGUUCCAUUCCGGAGUAUGGAUAGGACCCCAAACUAACCACUCUACUGUUAAAAAGGAAGUUUUAUCAAUUGUAGAUUGUAUUUCAAAAUUUCAAGACGAUUUAAUAAAUGAAAAGUUUUUACUUCGCGUAGAUUGCAAAUCAGCGAAAGAGAUUUUACAAAAAGAUGUCAAAAAUUUGGUUUCAAAACAAAAUUUUGCAAGAUGGCAAGCAAUUUUAUUAGUAUUUGAUUUCGAUAUUCAAUAUAUAAAAGGGGAAAAUAAUUCUUUACCUGGUUUUUUAACUCGUGAAUAUUUACAGAGAAAUCGUAAUCAACAGAAUAUUCAACAUGGCAGAUAAAAAGAAAAGACCAAUGACAGCCAUCGACUAUAUCAAAAACCAACCGCGCCUUCAAGACAAACAUCUUACUAAAACUACCAACACCUUCUCAGCCCUUGCGGAGUUUCCUCCCUUAUCAUAUGCAAAAGCAGCUAAUCCAAAUCCUGGCCAUACCUCUUCGAAACCACCAACUCCAACUCAAAAUUCCGACUACUAUACAAAACCCUAUUACCAACACAUCCAUACAACCUAUUUUCCAAAACCAAUAACCCUAAAAGAACUCCAAAACUAUAUCAACUGCGUCUUUUACGAAACAAGCCUAUGGUCAACAGACAAUGUAACCAAAAACCAAACCUUCUACGAGUACAUUCUAGUAGACUCUAUGUCUGCUUCAAUUGUACAUCAUGAAA
rnacentral:lncRNA from 1 species